rnacentral:rRNA from 1 species
GACGAACGCUGGCGGCGUGCUUAACACAUGCAAGUCGAACGGAAAGGCCCUGCUUUUGUGGGGUGCUCGAGUGGCGAACGGGUGAGUACACGUGAGUAACCUGCCCUUGACUUUGGGAUAACUUCAGGAAACUGGGGCUAAUACCGGAUAGGAGCUCCUGCUGCAUGGUGGGGGUUGGAAAGUUUCGGCGGUUGGGGAUGGACUCGCGGCUUAUCAGCUUGUUGGUGGGGUAGUGGCUUACCAAGGCUUUGACGGGUAGCCGGCCUGAGAGGGUGACCGGCCACAUUGGGACUGAGAUACGGCCCAGACUCCUACGGGAGGCAGCAGUGGGGAAUCUUGCACAAUGGGCGGAAGCCUGAUGCAGCAACGCCGCGUGCGGGAUGACGGCCUUCGGGUUGUAAACCGCUUUCGCCUGUGACGAAGCGUGAGUGACGGUAAUGGGUAAAGAAGCACCGGCUAACUACGUG